rnacentral:rRNA from 1 species
AGAGUUUGAUCCUGGCUCAGAACGAACGCUGGCGGCAGGCCUAACACAUGCAAGUCGAACGCUGUAGCAAUACAGAGUGGCAGACGGGUGAGUAACACGUGGGAAUCUUCCUAUCGGUACGGAAUAGCUCAGGGAAACUUGGGGUAAUACCGCAUACGCCCUUCGGGGGAAAGAUUUAUCGCCGAUAGAUGAGCCCGCGUCUGAUUAGCUAGUUGGUGAGGUAAUGGCUCACCAAGGCGACGAUCAGUAGCUGGUCUGAGAGGAUGACCAGCCACACUGGGACUGAGACACGGCCCAGACUCCUACGGGAGGCAGCAGUGGGGAAUAUUGGACAAUGGGCGCAAGCCUGAUCCAGCCAUGCCGCGUGAGUGACGAAGGUCUUCGGAUUGUAAAGCUCUUUUGGCGGGGACGAUAAUGACGGUACCCGCAGAAUAAGCCCCGGCUAACUUCGUGCCAGCAGCCGCGGUAAUA